AUUGAACGCUGGCGGCAGGCCUAACACAUGCAAGUCGAACGCGGGGUGGACGGGUGUGAUAUGUCUGGGAAACUGCCAGAAGGAGGGGGCUCACUACUGGACACGGUAGUAAUUACCGCAUACCAUUCGAUUUGCUCAGAUGGGAUUAGCUAGUAGGUGGGGUAAAGGCACACCUAGGCGACGAUCCAUAGCUGGUCUGAGAGGAUGACCAGCCACACGUGGACUUAGACACGGUCCAGACUCCUACGGGUGUCAGCAGUGGGGAAUAUUGCACAAUGGGCGCAAGCCUGAUGCAGCCAUGCCGCGUGUAUGAAGAAGGCCUUCGGGUUGUAAAGUACUUUCAGCGGGGAGGCGUUACCCGCAGAAGAAGCACCGGCUAACUCCGUGCCAGCCGCCGCGGUAAUAC
rnacentral:rRNA from 1 species